UGGGGAAUUUUGCACAAUGGGGGAAACCCUGAUGCAGCGACGCCGCGUGAUUUAGAAGGCCUUCGGGUUGUAAAAAUCUUUUCUAUGGGAAGAAAAUGACAGUACCAUAGGAAUAAGGACCGGCUAAUUACGUGCCAGCAGCCGCGGUAAUACGUAAGGUCCGAGCGAUGUCCGGAAUCAUUGGGCGUAAAGGGUACGUAGGCGGGUAAGCAAGUUAGAAGUGAAAUCCUGUAGCUCAACUACAGUAAGCUUUUAAAACUGCUCAUCUUGAGAUAUGGAAGGGAAAGUGGAAUUCCUAGUGUAGCGGUGAAAUGCGCAGAUAUUAGGAGGAAAACCGGUGGGGAAGGCGACUUUCUGGCCAUAAUCUGACGCUGAGGUACGAAAGCGUGGGUAGCAAACAGG
rnacentral:rRNA from 1 species